AUUGAACGCUGGCGGCAGGCUUAACACAUGCAAGUCGAGCGGAGAUGAGGUGCUUGCACCUUAUCUUAGCGGCGGACGGGUGAGUAAUGCUUAGGAAUCUGCCUAUUAGUGGGGGACAACAUUCCGAAAGGAAUGCUAAUACCGCAUACGUCCUACGGGAGAAAGCAGGGGAUCUUCGGACCUUGCGCUAAUAGAUGAGCCUAAGUCGGAUUAGCUGGUUGGUGGGGUAAAGGCCUACCAAGGCGACGAGCUGUAGCGGGUCUGAGAGGAUGAUCCGCCACACUGGGACUGAGACACGGCCCAGACUCCUACGGGAGGCAGCAGUGGGGAAUAUUGGACAAUGGGGGGAACCCUGAUCCAGCCAUGCCGCGUGUGUGAAGAAGGCCUUAUGGUUGUAAAGCACUUUAAGCGAGGAGGAGGCUACUGAGACUAAUACUCUUGGAUAGUGGACGUUACUCGCAGAAUAAGCACCGGCUAACUCUGUGCCAGCCGCCGCGGUAAGAC
rnacentral:rRNA from 1 species